rnacentral:rRNA from 1 species
CUGGUGCCAGCAGCCGCGGUAAUUCCAGCUCCAAUAGCGUAUAUUAAAGUUGUUGCAGUUAAAAGCUCGUAGUUGAAUUUCGGGGUCAGUAGAUUGGUCAUGCCUCCGGUAUGCACUGGUCUUACUGGCUCCUCCUUCCUGAUGAACCGUAAUGCCAUUAAUUUGGUGUUGCGGGGAGACUGGACUGUUACUUUGAAAAAAUUAGAGUGUUUAAAGCAGGCUAACGCUUGAAUACAUUAGCAUGGAAUAAUGAAAUAGGACGUUCGGUCUUAUUUUAGUUGGUUUCUAAGAUUGACGUAAUGAUUAAUAGGGAUAGUUGGGGGCAUUAGUAUUCAAUUGUCAGAGGUGAAAUUCUUGGAUUUAUUGAAGACUAACUACUGCGAAAGCAUUUGCCAAGGAUGUUUUCAUUAAUCAAGAACGAAAGUUAGGGGAUCGAAGACGAUCAGAUACCGUCGUAGUCUUAACCAUAAACUAUGCCGACUAGGGAUCGGAUGAUGUUAAUUUUUUAAUGACUCAUUCGGCGCCUUACG